AGCGAACGCUGGCGGCAGGCCUAAAACAUGCAAGUCGAACGCCGUAGCAAUACGGAGUGGCAGACGGGUGAGUAACACGUGGGAACAUACCCUUUGGUUCGGAACAACACAGGGAAACUUGUGCUAAUACCGGAUAAGCCCUUACGGGGAAAGAUUUAUCGCCGAAGGAUUGGCCCGCGUCUGAUUAGCUAGUUGGUGGGGUAACGGCCCACCAAGGCUACGAUCAGUAGCUGGUCUGAGAGGANGAUCAGCCACACUGGGACUGAGACACGGCCCAGACUCCUACGGGAGGCAGCAGUUAGGAAUCUUGGACAAUGGGCGCAAGCCUGAUCCAGCCAUGCCGCGUGAGUGAUGAAGGCCUUAGGGUUGUAAAGCUCUUUCAGCGGGAAGAUAAUGACGGUACCCGCAGAAGAAGCCCCGGCUAACUUCGUGCCAGCCGCCGCCGUAAC
rnacentral:rRNA from 1 species